UAGCCAACGACACGUGCCUUUG
rnacentral:siRNA from 1 species